ACUGCGUUGCACUUUUCCGUCAGUCGGUUGUCAACAUUCAGUUCGAUCAGACUCAUUAGGUUAAUUUUAGUUAACAAAGAUAUUAGUUUUAUUUUCCAAAAGUACAACAAACAAAAUUAAUUAAAAUGACAACAUUUAAGCAAGUUCCUCUUACAUGUGGUGGCCAUACUAGACCAGUGGUGCAUUUGGACUUUAGUGACGUUACCAAGGAUGGGUAUUACCUGAUUUCUGCCUGCAAAGAUGGCAAGCCCAUGUUGCGGCAAGGUGAGACAGGCGACUGGAUUGGCACCUUCGAGGGGCACAAAGGGGCCGUGUGGGGCGUAGCCCUGACUCAAAACGCCAGCUUGGCGGCCAGUGGCGCUGCUGACUUCUCAGCGAAACUCUGGGACGCGCGUUACGGCGAAGUGGUUCACACGUUCGACCACGACCACAUAGUGAAGAGCGUGAACUUUAAUGCUGACGACUCUCUUCUUCUUACUGCGAGUAAUGAGAAACUCAUCCGGGUGUUCGACCUGAACAAGCCUGAAGCUGGCCCCGUGGAAAAAUUUAGUGCCCACGCCAGCAGUAUCCGCCACGCGGUGUUCCUCCACAACUCUCGCAUCGCGAGCGUUAGCGACGACCUCACUAUGCGCGUGUGGGACAGGACGUCUGGCCAGGACGUGAACAAAAUCGAGUUUACCUCAAUUCCAAAUAGUUUAGAACUGUCAAGGGAUGGCGCGAUUUUGACAGUAGCACACGGUACCAACGUGUCAUUCUACUCAACGGACACGAUGCGCAAGAUGCGCGAAGUGGCCGUCCCGACCAAGUGCUACUCCGCCUCGCUGGCCCCCUCGCGGGCCACCUUCGUGUGCGGCGGCGAGGACCUCAAGGUCUACAAGUUCGACUACAACACCGGCACCGAGCUAGGUACUGUAGUAUAUACCAACAGGUACCAACGUGUCCUACUCAACGGACACGAUGCGCAAGAUGCGCGAAGUGGCCGUCCCGACCAAGUGCUACUCCGCCUCGCUGGCCCCCUCGCGGGCCACCUUCGUGUGCGGCGGCGAGGACCUCAAGGUCUACAAGUUCGACUACAACACCGGCACCGAGCUAGGUACUGUAGUAUAUACCAACAGGUACCAACGUGUCCUACUCAACGGACACGAUGCGCAAGAUGCGCGAAGUGGCCGUCCCGACCAAGUGCUACUCCGCCUCGCUGGCCCCCUCGCGGGCCACCUUCGUGUGCGGCGGCGAGGACCUCAAGGUCUACAAGUUCGACUACAACACGGGCACCGAGCUAGAAUGCAACAAAGGACAUUUCGGUCCGGUGCACUGCGUGCGGUGGUCGCCAGACGGCGAGUUGUACGCCACCGGAUCCGAGGACGGCACCGUGCGACUGUGGCAGGGCGUGCCCGGGCGCGUGUACGGGCUGUGGCGG